GUUCCAGCUAUAAAAGAAGACGGAAAAUGUCUGCAUGAUUUUUUCUCAUUGUCAUCAAAAGUAGUCUUGUCUAGUUUCAAGUAACAAAACUAAAACUCUCAAAAUGUAAUUAAUCUGUAAUUAACCUAACUCUCCACCAGUAAAGACAGAGACCAUUAUCACAUAAUAACAAAAACCCCAGGCACCCAACAAAGUUUCCUAUAUAACGCUUAGGUGGUAUAUAAAUAAACCAAAGUUAUCAUUUUAUUAAUGAUCUUUCACAAAAGAUCACAUUUCUAACUGGUUAAAUUCAUAAUGGAGCCUCAUUCCACAUUAGAAAAUUACCUGCUUUAAGUUUCCCUUAAAUUAGAAAGUGAAUUAUAGAAUCUGAUCUGAACAAAACAUAUUACAACUCUGCUGAAUGUUAAGAAUUAACUUUAGUGAGCAAAAUAUCUAAUGCUUACGUUUAAAAGUCCUAAAUUAUACCCAACCCAAUUUAUUAAAUGUACGAUCACCAAUGUUUUCUUUGGCUUCUUCAAAAUAUUCACUCCCGUGCACUCUUCCCCUUCUGCUCAUCACCUAUGCACUUAAAACCCCCUAUAAGCUCAACUCCAGUAUUUUUCAGAAAGGCUGUUAUGUUCAUGAUGCCCCUUUUGCCUUAUAUAAGCAGGUGCUCACCAUUUAUUGAAUGAGUGUCUGCCAAUCCAGUGGAUGCACUUUGAAAAAUUCCUGCCUACACUCAACCUCUGAUAAAGUAUAUUUACAUAGAACAUUUUAGAUUAUGCCCUGCUUUCAUGCACAUUACCUAAUGUAAUUCUUAUAGUAUAUAUUUUUAUCUUUCAUUGCAUUCUUAGAAGUUUUCCAAUAUCUUAAAUUUAUUUAAAUGAUUCACUUUCCUAAUUCAUUGCCAGGAGAGUCUCAUCAUGUCUUUUAUGCUACUGUAUAUAUAGUAUAUGCACAAAAAGUGCUUUCUUGAAUCAAAGAAUCAUGAACAGAACAUAAGCUAAUGUCAUAAAGCACGCACGCGCGCACACACACACACACACACACACACGAGAUUUUCACAUUUUUAAAAACAUGCUUUCUGGAAUAUAGAUCAUAUGAUCACUAAAUACCAGUAAAUGCAAAAGUCCAUAUGAUACAACCAAUUUGCAACAUAUUACAGUUUUAAAGUUUACAAGCUAUGUGUAUAUGGAUUAAAAUCAAAUCAAAAUAAAACCAAAACACUCCCAAAAGUAUAAGAAAUUGUUUACUUCAUUGACUCAUUUAUCAGCCUUCAGUCUUAUUACUCUUUCCUCCUUUAACUGCUUUAGGCACUCCUCCAGUGAUAACUUUGUACCUGCAAUGCUUCUUGUUUCAAACUGAUUUUCUCUGGCUCUUCCUGAACACUUUCUGAGGAAUCAUCAACCUCUUCGAUUUCUGAGGAGGAAGGACUCUCUACUGUCACAGUCACAGGAAAUUCUGAUGGACCUGAGUGUCACAAGAAGAAGAUAGGAAACCACAGAGUUGUUAAACUAAAGUGCAAAGAAAGAAGACAAGAUUGUAUAAAAGACAACACAAGCCAGAUACCAAAUAUCCAAAUAUUAGAGGACAUUUAACAAAAGUGA